rnacentral:lncRNA from 1 species
AGAAGUAUUCAAUAAAAAAAUUACUUUUGUAUAUGUAGAUUGAUUUCAAAGUAAAUAUAAAUAGAAUGAUCAAUUAACAUAAGUCUUAAAAUUGAUACAAAAUAACCGGAAACAACCGAUUUUCGGUGUAAUCGCAAGCCUUUUUCGACUAAUAUCCCAAUCAAAUGUGUUACAUCGCCAAAAUUAAAAUUCAAUGAUGAAAACCAUCAGCCGUUCGUAGAUGGAUUAGUUUUAACUGUAGGGCCCUCCAUUUGUGGUUAAAACAUCAAGACGCAAAUCCGCAAAGUGGAGGAGGAGCUCGGGUGAAAAUCACUUCAGCGGCUACAAAGCGUCAGUUAAAUAUUACAAAAUACGAAGGUCGGCUGAAUUUCUCUCGUCCUAAGGUCAAUUAAUAUUUCGUUCUUGGAACAAGAAACACAACUAACACGGAAAGUUGGAAUUAUCACAAGUUGGAGCACCGCGCUGUGUUUAAAUUCCUUGUAAAAAAGAAAAUAUAUCCGGAAAAAUUUUUUUAGAGGAUGAACAAGCUGCAGAGAUUUUCAUGAGCAUUUCAGUAUGAAAAAUUUAGUGCGCGCAUUUACGCAGAACGACAAGCAGCGCUGAAUGGAGAGUAGUGAAGACUUUUUGGAGUUUGAUAAUUUGAAUGAAAUUUGCAUCCGCAUUGUAACAGUUACUGAAACUUGAAUUCGCCAAUAUGAUCCCCAGUCCAAACAGGAGUCUAUGAAAUGAAUAAAAAAUUGGGGAAAAGGUCACCAAAAAAAAUUCAAAGUGGAAAUGUCGGUGUCGAAGAUUAUGGCUACCAUUUUCUGGGGCCACGGCCAGUAUUACGGUAAUUUGUAGAGUCAGGCGUGUGAGGCAGUCAUAGAGAAAAGACGUGGCAAAUUAUCGCGCGUAGUGCUAUUUUUUUUUUUUUAAACAAAGCAUCUUUUCACAUCGCUCGGACUACGAGAAUUUAUAGAAGUAUAACAUCCACCCAGCUGUGCGGACUUGGCUCCCAUUGAUUUUUUCCUUUUUUCAAAUUUAUAAAAGGAGUUACGAGGACGAAGAUUUUCAGACGACAAUGAGAUGAAAGUGGCCGUAGUAAAGCAUUUUGAAGAGAGAUCUAAGGAAUAUUUUUUUUCAGUGGUAUGAAGGCAUUGUAUUCACGAUGUGAAAUGUGUAUUCCACCUGAGAGACUAUAUUGAGAAAUGAAAAAACUUAAAACUAUUAACAUUAACAUUAAGUACUUUAAGCCGCAAACUUAUCAGCCGCUUCUCGUAUAUCGGCAUAAAAUCAUAUAAAAAAUUAAUUAUGAGAUAUUAUUUUAUAAAAUACAUGAAUAUUAAAUUAUGAAAGACUCGCGGGAAAUGGCGGCAUGCGGCCUUUUAAGAAAAAAUGGGUUUGUGAAAUAUAUUUUUACCUUCGCGCAGAGUUCUUUUCUCUAUAAAAAACAACAAUAGAAGAAUCGAUACCACUAAAAAAAUAAUUUAUUCCAGUGUUUCUUGCAUAUUAUGCUCACAUAUCCAAUAAAGUCUGCGUUUACCUGACACAUUUUUUAAGUGAAGUAACAGCACAAUGAGAAUUAGGUAAUUUAGUUAAAAAUGUUUAUAUGUCUUUCAUCUUUAUUAUUUUAAGAACAAAAUUCAUAAACAAAAAUCUAAAUUCCGAUUUUCAUUUUCGUGGUAAAGGUAUCUAAACGUAACAACAUGUAAACAUAGCCAUCACCAUGAUACAAAAAAUUUAAAGUUAGCUCCAUUUCAAAAAUUUUGACACAGAAAUAUGGUGUUGCCACACUUUUCAGCAUUUU